rnacentral:lncRNA from 1 species
GGAGUAUCUAGCCAAUGUAAACAUUGGUUGGUGAGCGGCGAGGUUGGCUGGGUAGCCGUGGCUGUCUCAACCUAUGCCUGAGAGUGGUAUCCUGGACCUGGCUGCAGUUGCUGGACGAUGCCACUAAGACACGUCACUUGGAACUCUACAUCUCCGUUAGUCAAGAAAUAUGAAUUUCCGUCAAAGAAUCGCCUGGCUCUGCCUGGCCCUCUACCUUGCCUCCUCAUUUGCAGCUGUGUAUUAUUUUCUUGAUAUUGCUGAUCAGUUUGCUGAAUUUUCAAUGGAGCAUUCCAAGCUACACCAAACAUCAGACUCUUCUGAUGUGUCAAUAUGGAGGUUUUGGCAUCACAUUGGAGAUGUGCCAUUCCACAUUUUGGUGCUUAUUUUUGCAAUUCCUUAUUUGCAGGUUUUUGCAGCACUUUUUUAUUGCACACUUCCUACCAUUGAUAAAAAUGUUAAUAAGUGCCUUAUACCAGUUAUAGGAUGGAUGUACAUGUUUCAAAAAGUUUUCUCUCUCUUCAAAAAUCACAGGGACUUAGAUAUGAAGAGAGAAAACCCUCAUAUUGUUAGUAUAUCAUGACUGUUAUUAUUUUUUUUUGUUAAUAUUUUUUGUUGUAUAUUUAUUAACUUUAUGUACAAAUAUUUGGCUUUUCAUUAUUCUAUUGGUUAUGUUCUGCAGCAUUCACCUUGGAGUAGAGUGCUGCAAGGACUCUUGUUACAAGUGUCUGAACCCUUUCUUGUAGAGGAAACAUUAGUCUUAAUUAACUGAUUUAUGUAUUCAGGCCUAAUUCCAACAAGUUGAUUCAUACAGCCAAAGUAAUUGUGAAUCAACUCAGUCUGCUGUUAAUUAUUGGUACCUUAAUCUGGUAAGGCAUCCCAUCAGUACCAAGGUUUGAUUGUUUGGGAAGCAGACUCACAACCUCAUUAGUCUAGCAUCACUUUGUUAGUUUGGUCAUGCACACUCCUACACCUCAGCUCAAAUGGUUCAGAAAGAUCCUUCCUUGACAUCUAUGAUGCAAAUUCUCCAGAUCGGUUGUGAUAAUUUAGUCAAAUCCAGGAGGGAUGAGGUUUUUACAACGAUGUUUAGUGUGCACAGUACACUGGUCUCCAGGGUUUAUUUAAUGAUGGAAUGAGAUUCAGUUGAGGCUUUAAGAUGUCAAUAUGCUGACUUUUGUUCAGUAGCAAGUCCUUUUAGGAAAAGGGUGGCUCAGUAAUGUUAUUUUAUAGAUAAACCAAAUAUUAUUUUGUACUUGUGAUCCAUUAGGUUAUAUGAGGUGAUAAGGUUAUGUGUGUUAUUUGAAUAUAAACAUAUACAGGACAAUUUUUUGUGAGAAAGAUUUCCCUUAUUGAUGCAAUUGUGUACUGAAUUCCUGUUUUUUUAGUAUAGUAUUACUAUGUAUUGUGUUGACCAGUCUCAUGUUGUCUUGGUCUGGUUAUUCUAGCCCCCAAAGCUGUCUGUCCGUCCAUGAGGAAGCAGCUCUUAGUGGAUAGUGGUGCAGAACCUUUUUAGCUGGGCCAGUUACACUAUGCAUAGUAAAUAUGUUAUCUUGUUUGGGAGUUUGAUGAAGUGCUAUAUGAAGACCAAAUAUGUAGCAUUAUUUUAGGGUACAGAAGUCCUUCAACUGUGCAAAAUCAGUCUAGGAUGUGAUAGCAUUGCAUUUGCUUGGUGGUACAGUGGAACCAUGCUCGCUUUGGGAUCUGAGGGGUCUCCAAGCGCAUGGGUUCGAAUCCUGUCCACGGUCCGAGUGUAGGUUGGGCUUCCUCACGCGGGGCAACGGUUUCUUAGCGGGUGGGCUUUGAGAUAGGAGGUACCCCAAAAAGUAUCCCCUUUAGCCCAUAAAUUCCCGUGAAAAUCCCACAUGGUAUAAAAAAAAAAAGAGAGACAGAACACCCUUGGGGACUUGGUUGAAAUAGGAUUAGAUAUGACAGACAGGCAUUUAUUGAAAGUGUAAUGUUUCCUCAGGGUACCAAUUGAAUAGCACCAAAUAGGUGUCAUAGGUGUCAUAAAUGUCAUCAGAGUCUCACUGUCCUCAAAACUUUCACGAAGGGAGUCCACCACUAUCUCCUCUUUCCCAUCUAGGAGCGAUACAUGCCCUGAAUGGAGAUAAGCAGCGAUGACGGGAGAAUCCAGCUGGCCCAUGUAGCCAGACAGGACCUCUGUAGGGUCACAAAAGUAAAUGGGCCACCCAAAGCAGGCCAGGUAAUAGUUGGUGAAGGAUAUAGUAAGGCGACUGUGCACUUCAUAAUUUGGGCGAGCACAUCCCAUGUAAGGGUUUCUCAAUGCAGCCUGGUAGUACACUCUGUAACUACUAGCAGUACUACAGCCACCACUGAGAGUGUGUGCUAACUUCAUGACUAUAGUAGUGUUAUCCUUCUUCUUCUUCUUCUUCUUCUUCUUCUUCUUCUUCUUCUUCUUCUUCUUCUUCUUCUUCUUCUUCUUCUUCUUCUUCUUCUUCUUCUUCUUCUUCUUCUUCUUCUUCUUCUUCUUCCUUUCUUCUUCUUCUUCUUCUUCUUCUUCUUCUUCUUCGUUCUUCUUUCUUCUUCUUUCUUCGUCUCCUUUCUUCUUCUUCUUCUUCUUCUUCUUCUUCUUCUUCGACAUCAGUAGUUCUGAUCAUUCUCCAUCUGUUCCUUAUCUGCUGGCUCCACCAUCACCACUACCGCUGCUGCCGCUGCCACCUCUUUAAUUCUUAUACUGUAUAGGGCACCAUAUCCCUUCAGGCAGAUGCUGAAGAUGGGGUGAGCCUGCACAGUUCAAACACCUUCAUAGCCCUCUCUUUACCUGUACCUUAUGUCACAGGUUCUGGAAUAACUUCCAAGGUGUAUUACACAUGUAAAAUCAAAUGUACUUCGUCACUUUGCAUAAGGGCAGGAGCUGAAAACUUGGGUUAUUGAUGGACUUCUGUACUAACAAUUCUUUGAGUGCCCACUUUUUUCUGUCUGUAGUGGAGUCACAGUGAUAUAAUGUGUAGCCCAUUAAAGGUUUAAGAGGUUCAGCAGUGUAUAAUUUUCAGGAGCAUUUAUUUCUCACAGUUGAUACUUUCUGCCUCUUUGGUUAGGAGGUUUAUUUAAGAUUCACAUCAUGGUAUGGACUAGGGAUAAAGCAUGAUUUUAUUUUUGUAACUAUUUACUAGAUGUGAGGUAUAUCUGGGGCUUAUGAAGCUCAUGAUGGUACUUAAAAGAUAUAAUGAGAAUUGUUUAUCACGCAUACUGUGGAGUUGGGCAUUUGCAAUGUUGUUGUGACUAAAAUUGUCAGGAAAGAGGAUCUGUUUAACUGUUCAAAUCUCAACUUGUUAUAUUGAGAUAUUAAAGAAGAAACCUGGUAUUUUAUAUUUCAUUGCUGAAACAUUCUGCUCCGAAGGAAAACUGUGCAACCAAAGAAGAAAAGCAGUCAACACAGAACAUAGACACACCUAUCAUACAUAUCACAUUUGUGCUUUUCAUUCAAUGAAUGGUGAAGCACAUGUUUCCAUCUUUUGUAGGAGGCUUCAAAGUGUUUUCCUUGAAAAUAGUCGAAAGCAAGUCCUGUAGUGCAUACUGUUACAUUAACUAACAACAGAACUUGCAUCAGCUUUGUCUUGCAAACCAAAGCUGGAACUCUUCCUUUUAUUAAGAGGAUUGUUGGCAUUUUCUUCUCACUCUCUUUUUUGUCAAACGUGAUUUGAAAGCAAUAUAAGCUCUAUUUUUUUUAAGAGUUAGUGGAGGGAGUGUAUAAUUGUAAUUAUUAGCAAGCUUGCCAUGCACUUCAUAAUGUACAUUUACACAGCAAAAUAGGUUAGUAUUUAAACUAAAGCGCAAUAUUUUAGAUUUAGGUUCAGGAGUUCAAAAGAGUUUCAUGAAAAUUAUCAUUGUAACAUUGAAAGUUGUGUAUAUUUUUUUUUUUAUUAAUUCUAGGUUGUGAUUUCACUAAAGACACUAAAUUUUGUUAAUUUUAGUCUCUGAGCUUUACAGUGUUUUAUUUCUGUAUCUGUAUUUGUUUUACUCAAAGUAAGGGAUGCUUGGAAAUAUUGUGAUUUAUUACAUAAGUGUUCUGAGACAAUGCUGUGUUUCCCGGUGUAUGGGGUUAUUUCUCAAGUUGGUGGAUUCAUCAGGCAGCUGUACUUUGUGUUGUGUCAACAGCAUGUUGUACACCUCUGAAUGUUCAGGCAAUGUAAGACAGCCAGUGUUGCAAUGAAUGGUAGUACAUAGUGUGAAGCAGACAUCUUUUGGUGUCAGCACUAUCUGCAGUGACUGAUGUGGUAUUGGAUACAUCUGUAUGGAUUCCUAUAUGAAAAGUGGUAUCUGCUGAUGGUGAUUACUAUUAAUAACAUUACUCUUGACAUUGCAUAAAGUGUUUGAUUCCUGCUGCUGAUUUGGCAGAAGAGUGCUAUAAGUAUAAGGCAAUAAGCUUCUAUAAGGACAAGACACUUAUGGUUUGUUCUUGUCUGACAUGUCUGUGCAAGUAAAUUUCAAGAUUUGGA